AGCGCAGGCGGGAUGGCAAGUUGGGCGUGAAAACUAUGGGCUUAACCCAUAGACUGCGCUCAAAACUGCUGUUCUUGAGUGAUGGAGAGGUAGGCGGAAUUCCCGGUGUAGCGGUGGAAUGCGUAGAUAUCGGGAGGAACACCAGUGGCGAAGGCGGCCUACUGGACAUCAACUGACGCUGAGGCUCGAAAGUAUGGGAGCAAACA
rnacentral:rRNA from 1 species